rnacentral:sRNA from 1 species
GGCUUGCUCUGCUCUUUACCUGGGGUUGCUGUCGAGGACCCUGUGCAAGACUCGGCCGGUUUUUCUUUCUCCCUGAUGGACAGACCCAAACAUAGCCGCGCAGCAUCGUGAAGGGCUGGGGCCUUCACGCGUCUGUGGCUGUGGAAGGGCCUGGUUUCCUCAGGAGGUAAAGGAAUGUUCCUGUCCCCCGGAGGAAAGAAGGUGAAAACGAAAGCGCCCUGGCUGCUCCUGGUGUGGUCCCAUUUAAAACGAGGUUGCUGAAGGCCAGGACGCGUGCUACCCGGAUGUGUGCCCAGAAACCCUGCAGCCAAGAGCAGCCGCCUGGACCACCAGCCUCCCCUUCAUCCAGCUGGCCCAGCCCAGAGCCCAGGCCCACGUCUGGUGGUUUGUGUCUUACCAGAGGCCAGGUGGGGGCUGACUUCUCUCGGUUCUCAGAAGGUCAAGCCCUCUAUUAGCAUCUCCUCGAACAGUGGGCCGGGGGCAAGGUGGUGACUCUGUUCAGUCCUUAGGAUGGCUGAAAGCCAGAAGGAGGAGAUUAUGCCGCCAGAGCAGGGAGUGCCUUUCCAGGAAAGCGGCUGCUGGAGCAGCAUGGGAGCCCAGCCCAGGGAGCGUUCUGGCAGAGACCAUUCCGGAACAUGGAUCUGCGCCGGCGGCUCCCAGGAGACCUUCCAUCUCGGAGCUCCUGUGGAGACCACGUGCCUGGCAGGCAUGUCGGGCCCCAGGCCUGUGGUGCUGAGCGGGCCUUCGGGAGCUGGGAAGAGCACCCUGCUGAAGAGGCUGUUCCAGGAGCACAGCGGCAUCUUUGGCUUCAGCGUGUCCCGUGAGUCCAGGGCUCUUGUGGAGGGGUGUGUAGACCUCAAGGCUUCUGAGUAGUCCUAGCACCGUGAGCAGGCCAGGAGCCCGAACCCAACAGGCACACCCACCCUGCAGACUGUCCGAACUCUUGCACACUCCCCCC